rnacentral:snoRNA from 1 species
CUGCCCUCUGCCUUGCUCGGUGGUACUCUUUCAAUGAUACCAUCUUGAGCUGGAUAUUCAAGUUCACUGCUCUUGCUCUGCUCCUGCAGCGAAAUUGAAUAAUGGGCUAAAUUAAAUUCCUAGACUUCUUUUGAGUACGACUCUAUUAACAGGAUCAACCUGUCCAUAAUAAAGCAUCGUAAUUAGAACGUCUCAAAUCU